rnacentral:pre_miRNA from 1 species
GAGACACCCUUCUGGGGCAACAAGACUUGCUUCAGUGGGGCUUUGGUGCUCAUGGAGUCUGCCCCCUGAGUGUGUCCCU